GACGAACGCUGGCGGCGUGCCCAAUACAUGCAAGUCGAACGGAGGUCGCCACGCGGAUCUCUUCGGAGAGAAGCGUGGCCAUACCUCAGUGGCGAACGGGUGAGUAACACGUGGGUAACCUGCCUGUAAGUCGGGGAUAACUGCGGGAAACCGCAGCUAAUACCGGAUAAGUCGGGAGGUUCGCAUGAACCUUUCGGUAAAGGAGCUACGGUUCCGCUUACAGAUGGGCCCGCGGCGCAUUAGCUAGUUGGUGGGGUAACGGCCUACCAAGGCGACGAUGCGUAGCCGACCUGAGAGGGUGACCGGCCACACUGGGACUGAGACACGGCCCAG
rnacentral:rRNA from 1 species